rnacentral:rRNA from 1 species
AUGGCGCUCUCCCGCCGCCUUCCCCUCCUCCUCCUCCUCUCCCUCGUCGCCGCCAUGACGGCGGUCACCAGCACCGCCCCCGAGGUCAUCGUGACCAAGUGCUACCCGCCGCCGACGCCCACCGGCACCACCCCCGGGGUCAUCGUGACCAGGUGCUACCCGCCGCCGACGCCCACCGUCAACGGCAGCGGCGCGUUCCCCGAUAGUCUCCUCCCGCUCCUCGACGCCCUCCCCUCGGCCGCCGCGCGGACGGGCUUCGCCUCGCUGGGGGCCGGCGGUGCGCUCGCCCGCGGCUUCUGCUUCGGCGACCCCGCGCCCGACCCGUGCCUCCGCUGCCUGUCCGACGCCGGCAGAAAGAUCACCGGCCAGUGCGGCGACGCCAGCCGGCGCGUGGGCUUCCUGAACGACGGCUGCUUUCUGGGCUACGCCGACACCAACGCUUCCUCCUCCGCCUGCCCGGACGCCGACAUCGGCGCGGUGACCUUCUCCGGCGACGCCGUCCCGCGCCUCGACGACGCCGACGUGCAGAAGCUCGUGACCGUGGCGCAGUCCCUGGUCCCGCGGUCCGCGAACGGCCAGCUGCCCGCCGUCAACGCGACCGCCACGGCGAGUAACGGCGACACGGUGCGCGUGCUGGCACAGUGCGCGACGGACCGCGCCGCGACGGAGUGCGCCCGGUGCCUGCGGGACUCGGCGCUGCAGAUGGCCAGGAGCUGGGGGGCCGCCGCCGGCGCCGUGCAAGGAAGCGUGGCCGCUGUCCUCGGUUCCAACUGCUACCUCCGCUUCGAGAUAUCGGCACCGCCGCUGCCCCUGGGAGAGCAGACCCGGAGGAUGAUAAAGGAGAACGUCGCCCUGACGGUGUGCAUUGCCAUCAUCUUCGUCCUAGUCGUGGCUGUCAUGGCGUGGCAGCUUGCGUCGUCGGCAUGA